rnacentral:rRNA from 1 species
GUGCCAGCCGCCGCGGUAAUACCGGCAGCCCGAGUGAUGGCCGAUCUUAUUGGGCCUAAAGCGUCCGUAGCUGGCCGCGCAAGUCCAUCGGAAAAUCCACCCGCCCAACGGGUGGGCGUCCGGUGGAAACUGUGUGGCUUGGGACCGGAAGGCGCGACGGGUACGUCCGGGGUAGGAGUGAAAUCCCGUAAUCCUGGACGGACCACCGAUGGCGAAAGCACCUUGGAAGGACGGAUCCGACAGUGAGGGACGAAAGCUAGGGUCUCGAACCGGAUUAGAAACCCGUGUAGUCC